UCACAACGCUCACUAGCUUCUAUGAGAAGGUUGGUGUGAAAACUGUGAAAGCUUUGAAGAGGAAUAAUGAAGCCGCGACUCACGACGCUGUCGACAUGCUGUGUGCUCUGAUGCAGCCAACGCACGAUAACUAUGACAUUCGACAAGAACAGAU